CCCUACGGGACGCAGCAGUGGGGAAUCUUGCGCAAUGGGGGGAACCCUGAUGCAGCGACGCCGCGUGGGUGAAGAAGCGCCUCGGCGCGUAAAGCCCUGUCAGCAGGGAAGAAAAUGACGGUACCUGAAGAAGAAGCCCCGGCUAACUACGUGCCAGCAGCCGCGGUAAUACGUAGGGGGCAAGCGUUAUCCGGAUUUACUGGGUGUAAAGGGGGCGCAGACGGCGAUGCAAGCCAGGAGUGAAAGCCCGGGGCCCAACCCCGGGACUGCUCUUGGAACUGCGUGGCUGGAGUGCAGGAGGGGCG
rnacentral:rRNA from 1 species